GGUGCUGUGGUCUAGUGGUAUGACGUCACGUUGUGGCCGUGCCAGCCCCGGUUCGAUUCCGGGCAGCGCCA
rfam:Aspergillus aculeatus ATCC 16872 unplaced genomic scaffold ASPACscaffold_13, whole genome shotgun sequence.